AUGAUUUCGGAAACCAGUGCUGUAAAGGGUUAUGAGAAAAGUGCCCCUGAAGUGGCGAAAGAAAUGGAAGCAGAAAUGAACGCCAUAAAGCAAGUGACCGUAGCUAAUAACCGGGCACCGGAAGUACAUGUUCCGGAACCGGAAGACUACGACACGGAUCUAGAGGAAGAGAAAUACCCUCGGUGUUAUACGGUGCCAAUGGAGGAACGUCCCCGAGUGAUUUACAUGAGAGCAUGUCACAAAUUUAACCUGACGCCAUCUUCAUCCUUCCUGAAAGGACUGACGUCAGGGGUCGUGAAAUUGAACCACCAGAACCUGGGUCCAGAUGGCGCUAGAACUGUUGCCCUUGGUCUUGUGCUGUGUGAGACGGUCUCUGAACUCCACAUGUCCAGCAACAACAUUGGACAGAGCGGCAUCAAGUACCUGAUAGACAUGCUCAGGGAGAACGAGAAUAUCUCAGUGCUGAAUUUGGCAGACAAUGAGCUGCAGACGUACGGAGCCCAGCUGUUGUGUGAGAUGCUCAAUGAAAACGACGCAAUAAUAUCCCUCAAUGUUUCAGGGAACAAUUUCAAACCUCAGGAUGCACAUUUAUUUCACACAAUGAUGUCUUACUAUAGAUGUACAUUAAAGGAAUUAGACCUUUCUCACAAUGAUUUUGGAGAAUAUGGUGGUAAACUUAUAGGCGAGGCUAUUGGUAACAAUGACACAAUUGAAACACUAAACAUCAGCUGGAAUGGAUUUGGCCCAAAUGGAGCAAAGGCAAUCGCUAAAGGACUAGAGGAAAAUUCUUGUCUGAAGGUUUUGGAUGUAUCAUGGAACGGAUUAGAAGACGUUGGGUCGGAGAUGAUUGCGUCAGCAAUAUCAGCUAAUGACGUCAUGGUUGAUUUAAAUAUAUCGGCCAAUAGAAUUGGAAUGAAAGGACUUGGGCUUGUUUUGAAGGCCUUAUCUAGCAGUAAAUCAAUAAAAUCAUUAAAUGUGAGUCGAAAUCCUAUAACAUUUGAAGGACCAGUUGUCGCCGUCCAAACAAUAUUGGAGCACCCGGAAUGUGGUCUACAAUCUAUAGAAUUCCGGGACAUGUGUGUUCCUCGACAGUUUCUACCGAUCCUUGCAAAAAUUAACGAAUUCAAACCACAGUUCAAAGUCAAACAUGGCGGCUACGUCAUCGCCUCUGACAUCCUUCAUCACUCCAUGGAGCAGAGAAUGGAGACCGUGCUGAAUGACCCCAUGAUGAGGUUACUGCAGUACGUCCAUGAACGGAAACUCCGACUAGCCGACUUGUUCUUCCAGUUUGACACAGACAGGAGUAUGACGAUCAGUGAGGGGGAGUUCGUUGCUGGAAUCAAGAAAGCUGGGAUUCCAAUGAACGAUGAACAAAUCCAACAGCUCGUGGAAAAGUUAGACGUCGAUGCUGAUGGUGAAAUCGAUUUUGGUGAAUUGAAACUCGGCGAAAAGAAAUACCUCAAGCGCAUAGAAAAAAUCGGCGCGGAACUGCCAUUUGGACACAAGAAGUCAAACUCCCGACCCGCCUCUAAAAUGUCAAAUGCAAGAUCCAGACCGGCAUCAAAUACGUCACGCCCGGCUUCACAAAUAUCUGCCAGACCAAUGUCUAACUCAUCAAGAAAAACGGAGCGACCCAAAACAGUUCCAGACCACCUAUUGCAACCAAGGACGAAGAGCGAUUUAGCAGAGGAAUUGAAGAAAUUGACGGACAGCUCAUCUUCUGAAUCCGAGGGCGACACCUAGCGGAUAACCGAGGAAUAAAUAUGAUAUCUUUAAUGUGCCAAAAUCUUUCUACGCGAAUUAUUAAAACAAUCACCUUUACUUCUUAUCAUGGCUGUACAUAAUGUAUACAUUAAAAUCCAUAUGAUAUUG
rnacentral:misc_RNA from 1 species